UUUUAUACUUAUAUCGACUUGUUUCUUCUGUUCAGUGGGAGACAUGCAUUUGGCACCAACCUUCUCAGCUUCCUCAAAAAGGCUGUCAACAAAAUAUUCACAAUUUCUUUGUUGAUCAUCACUAAGAGGUUGGUUGUCAGAUCCUGUUUCACAAACCCUCCGGGCGCAGCUGCGCUGCCGCCUUCCGGCCUGGUCCUCCGUUCGCUCAGGGGCCGCGGGCGCCACCGCCGCUGUCGGGCUGGAGCCCCUCAGACGAGGAGCACCGCCGCCCCCAGACCCGCUGAGGCUCGCGGGCCCCGCCGCUGGGACCCAGCCCGCCUCCCUGGGCCUCCGCCGCCGGGCGCCGAGCGCGUGCCGAGCCCAGAGUCUGUAGUCUUAAUCAUGAUAUUCUGAGUCCUUUUUGAGCAAGAUUACAGGUCAUGUACUUACAAAGAUGUGUGCCUAGAGAACUUCAAUGCAGCAUUGCUGGCCAUCUCUCCAGUCUGAAAACAACUUAAACAUCCAUGAGACCAGGUAGGGCGAAUUAUGGCCCAUCUCUAGGAGGGAAUAUCACACAGCAGUUUUAAAGGUUGUCAACCGUCCAUUGUUAAAAUAAAGAUACACGAUCUCAGCGCAGCACAUAUGCUUUUUCUUUUUGUUUCAUAAGAAGGGAAAAAAUAUAAUAAAGAUUGACCCAUUUGUAAACUUCUUCUUCUUCUUUUUUUUUUUUUGGAGAGCUUAUUAACGUAUGAGGCCCUGUUAGAGGCACUGGGGAUGUAGCAAGUUAUAAAAAGAGAUGAGUCCUGGCCGGUUAGCUCAGUUGGUUAGAGCGUGGUGCUAAUAAAAAGAGAUGAUACAGGGGAGGAGACAUAGAAUAAGGGAAGACAGACAGACAUUGGAUAGUUCAGAGGGUGAACAGUAAAAUGGAAAAAUAGAGUGGGAAUUAAAAAAGGGAUGGGAGGUUUUGCAAUUUUCAAACAGGCAGCUUCAAGGAAGGCCCCUGAGUGGAUCUAACAUCUGAAUAAAGAACUGAAGCAGGAUAUAGUGAACUUGGCAGGUAUUUGGGGAGUUAUAAGAAAUUCAGUUGUAUAUGUAGAAAAGGUCUUUGAAAAGCUGUUAACAGUAACCUUAUAAGGGACCAGGGAUUAGCAGGUACUUCCACUUUUUCCCGUUUUAAAUCACAAGAUAAAAUUACCAGCAACCUUAGGGAAUCCGGUCUGCCCACUUAUAAUUGUCAAUGCUUUUUAUCAAUUGUAAUGACAGGUUCAUUACAUCGAAUUUUUGGUUAAUGAAUGUAACCCCCGGCCUCUGUAACAAAAUCCAGCUGAUCCCUCUCUG
rnacentral:lncRNA from 1 species